ACUCCUACGGGAGGCAGCAGUGGGGAAUAUUGCACAAUGGGGGAAACCCUGAUGCAGCCAUGCCGCGUGUGUGAAGAAGGCCUUCGGGUUGUAAAGCACUUUCAGUAGGGAGGAAGGUAGUGUAGUUAACACCUGCAUUAUUUGACGUUACCUACAGAAGAAGCACCGGCUAACUCCGUGCCAGCAGCCGCGGUAAUACGGAGGGUGCGAGCGUUAAUCGGAAUUACUGGGCGUAAAGCGCAUGCAGGCGGCCUGUUAAGUCAGAUGUGAAAGCCCGGGGCUUAACCUCGGAAUUGCAUUUGAAACUGGCAGGCUAGAGUCUUGUAGAGGGGGGUAGAAUUUCAGGUGUAGCGGUGAAAUGCGUAGAGAUCUGAAGGAAUACCGGUGGCGAAGGCGGCCCCCUGGACAGAUACUGACACUCAGAUGCGAAAGCGUGGGGAGCAAACAGGAUUAGAUACCCUGGUAGGAUAGCG
rnacentral:rRNA from 1 species